rnacentral:rRNA from 1 species
ACCCUUAGAUGUUCUGGGCCGCACGCGCGCUACACUGACUACUUCAACGAGUUGUUUCCCUGAUCGAAAGGUCUGGGUAAUCUUUGAAAGGUAGUCGUGAUGGGGAUAGAUCCUUGCAAUUUUUGAUCUUCAACGAGGAAUUCCUAGUAAACGCAAGUCAUCAGCUUGCAUUGAUUACGUCCCUGCCCUUUGUACACACCGCCCGUCGCACCUACCGAUUGAAUGGUCCGGUGAAUCUUUAGGACUGUGGCUGAGGCCUUGCCUUGUGCGGGUCUGGCCGUGGGAAUUUAGUUAAACCUUACCAUUUAGAGGAAGGUGAAGUCGUAACA